GUAACGAGCGCAACCCUUGUCCUUAGUUACCAGCACGUUAUGGUGGGCACUCUAAGGAGACUGCCGGUGACAAACCGGAGGAAGGGUGGGGAUGACGUCAAGUCAUCAUGGCCCUUACGGCCUGGGCUACACACGUGCUACAAUGGUCGGUACAAAGGGUUGCCAAGCCGCGAGGUGGAGCUAAUCCCAUAAAACCGAUCGUAGUCCGGAUCGCAGUCUGCAACUCGACUGCGUGAAGUCGGAAUCGCUAGUAAUCGUGAAUCAGAACGUCACGGUGAAUACGUUCCCGGGCCUU
rnacentral:rRNA from 1 species